GACGAACGCUGGCGGCGUGCCUAACACAUGCAAGUCGAACGGGGUAAUGACUUCGGUUAUUACUUAGUGGCGAACGGGUGAGUAACGCGUGAGAAACCUGCCUUUCAGUGGGGGACAACAGUUGGAAACGACUGCUAAUACCGCAUAAUGUUAUUUGGGGGCAUCCCUGAAUAACCAAAGAUUUAUUGCUGAAAGAUGGUCUCGCGUCUGAUUAGCUAGUUGGUGAGGUAACGGCUCACCAAGGCGACGAUCAGUAGCCGGUCUGAGAGGAUGGACGGCCACAUUGGGACUGAGAUACGGCCCAGACUCCUACGGGAGGCAGCAGUGGGGAAUAUUGGGCAAUGGGCGAAAGCCUGACCCAGCAACGCCGCGUGAAGGAAGAAGGCCUUCGGGUUGUAAACUUCUUUUACCAGGGACGAAUUUUGACGGUACCUGGAGAAAAAGCAACGGCUAACUACGUGCCAGCCGCCGCCGUAACAC
rnacentral:rRNA from 1 species